rnacentral:snRNA from 1 species
AUGCUCCAAGAUACGUGGUCAUAUAUACUAAAAUUGGGUCUGUACAGAGAAGAUUAGUAUGGACCUCGUGCAAGAAAAACAGGCAAAGUCAUGAUGUGUUCUAUAUUUUC